CAGGAGCCUGGAGUUUGCAGCAGUGCCUCAUCCCUUGGCGGUUCUGGAGUUCACUUUUGGGAACUUCUAGGUGUAGGAGCAUUGUAGUAAUCCUCUGGUGCAGGAACGUUUGAACAUUAAAUGGUGAUCUAUGCUCUCAUGCUUCCAUCACACAAAUAACAAAAUCUGUUGAAAUACCUGGAAGUUGGCCAAAAUUGCUUUGCAGUAGCCUUGUAAUGGAAAGGAAAAAAAGAAAUAUUUUCUGAGGAGUUUACAUUUCCUACGAAGAAGGCUGGCACCCCAGCUGCAGGGAGGUUUUUGUUUGUUUAAGGAAUUUGAAUAUGUUGGGUAAGUAUGGCCCCUGAGCUAUGCUGUGUUACUCUUUAAGCAAUAUGAGCUAGCCCUUCUGGAAUGGGAGCAGUCCUCUCCUCACUCUGUAGGCUCCAGGGUU
rnacentral:lncRNA from 1 species